GGCCAUUCGAUCUCUGCUCUAACAGUUUCAUUUCAGCAUAAAGCCUCCUCUUCAAAUCCUGAGUUUAUUAAUAUUAAUCUUUGUGUAAGAGACUUUGAAAUUGAAUAACACAUGAAACUACACUUUUUUUAAAAACUUUUUUUUUUUUAAAUCUGUGUUCAAGUAAUAACUGGAAACCCUUACAGGCCAAAAUGAUUUUGGUGUGGGUUUAGGGAUUUGUUUGUUUGUUUUCCUACAUAAGACUGCAUUUGAAGCUGUCUUUAGAAUCAACAGCCUGCAGUCACCCGGUACUUUCCAGAGAUUUCACAGAAGAUGAAGAGGGACUAAUUUCUUUCUGUGCUUUCAUGAUCAACUUACUGUGUAGAGGUAUGAAAAGUUAGUGCAGAAAGAUUCUUCAGUCAUCCUCCAGUUAAGAAGCUUAUGAUAAGAAAGUUGGUAUUUUCACCACUGGGAAAAGAUUGCUCAUCUAGGAGAGGAAACUUUCCCGUCAGCAAAGAAAACAUGAGGCCCAGGCUUGAAGUCUGCCAGAAGGCGGCUGAAGUCACAACUGCCACAUACCAGCAUCUCUACAGGCUGCCAAGAGAAGGAUGUUUAAAGAUGAAGUUUUAGGAGAGUACCAUUGGCUCAUCAGGAAGUAAACUGAGAACCCUUUUACCAGGAGCAGGGAGCAUCCUCCUGCAGGAUCACAGCUUGUGUCAAACGGACUAAAACGCAAACCCUGGUCAUCAGCCUUCCCCCUGAGCAAGCAGGAACAGAAGAGCUUCCAGAACACAAAAGCAGUGUUUCAGUUUGAGACACUGUGUAAGAACUUGAACAUCUUUUUUUCUUUCAAAUGAAUAAAUCCUAAUUAAAUUGAAAGCA
rnacentral:lncRNA from 1 species